rnacentral:rRNA from 2 species
CCCGCAACGAGCGCAACCCACGUAUUUAGUUGCUAACGGUUCGGCCGAGCACUCUAAAUAGACUGCCUUCGUAAGGAGGAGGAAGGUGUGGACGACGUCAAGUCAUCAUGGCCCUUAUGCCCAGGGCGACACACGUGCUACAAUGGCAUAUACAAUGAGACGCAAUACCGCGAGGUGGAGCAAAUCUAUAAAAUAUGUCCCAGUUCGGAUUGUUCUCUGCAACUCGAGAGCAUGAAGCCGGAAUCGCUAGUAAUCGUAGAUCAGCCAUGCUACGGUGAAUACGUUCCCGGGUCUUGUACUCACCGCCCGUCACACCAUGGGAGUUGAUUUCACUCGAAGCCGGAAUACUAAACUAGUUACCGUCCACAGUGGAAUCAGCGACUGGGGUGAAGUCGUAACAAGGUAACCGUAGGAGAACCUGCGGUUGGAUCACCUCCUUUCUAG